GCUCACUUAGUUUAUAUAAAACAUAGUCUUGAAGCGACUAAAAACUUUAAGCA
rnacentral:tRNA from 1 species